AUACGUAGGUGACAAGCGUUAUCCGGAUUUACUGGGCGUAAAGGGCGUGUAGGCGGUCUUGCAAGUCAGAAGUGAAAUUCCUGAGCUCAACUCGGGCGCUGCUUCUGAAACUGCAGGACUUGAGUGCUGGAGGGGAUAGCGGAAUUCCUAGUGGAGCGGUAAAAUGCGCAGAUAUUAGGAAGAACACCGGUGGCGAAGGCGGCUAUCUGGACAGUAACUGACGCUGAGGCGCGAAAGCGUGGGGAGCAAACAGGAUUAGAUACCCCGGUAGUCCUGGCAGUAAACGAUGUAUGCUGGGUGUGGGAGUAGCGAUACCUCCGUGCCGAAGUUAACGCGAUAAGCAUACCGCCUGGGGAGUACGGUCGCAAGAUUGAAACUCAAAGGAAUUGACGGGG
rnacentral:rRNA from 1 species